GGAAUAUUGCACAAUGGGGGAAACCCUGAUGCAGUGACGCCGCGUAUAGGAAGAAGGUCUUUGGAUUGUAAACUAUUGUCGACAGGGAAGAAAAAAAUGACAGUACCUGUGGAGGAAGCCCCGGCAAACUACGUGCCAGCAGCCGCGGUAAUACGUAGGGGGCGAGCGUUAUCCGGAUUUAUUGGGUGUAAAGGGUGCGUAGACGGUUAGACAAGUUGGUUGUGAAAUCCCUCGGCUUAACUGAGGAACUGCAACCAAAACUGCCUAACUUGAGUGCGGGAGAGGAAAGCGGAAUUCCUAGUGUAGCGGUGAAAUGCGUAGAUAUUAGGAGGAACACCAGUGGCGAAGGCGGCUUUCUGGACCGUAACUGACGUUGAGGCACGAAAGUGUGGGGAGCAAACA
rnacentral:rRNA from 1 species